rnacentral:rRNA from 1 species
UACGGGGGGGGCAAGCGUUGUUCGGAAUUACUGGGCGUAAAGGGCUCGUAGGUGGCCAACUAAGUCAGACGUGAAAUCCCUCGGCUUAACCGGGGAACUGCGUCUGAUACUGGAUGGCUUGAAUCCGGGAGAGGGAUGCGGAAUUCCAGGUGUAGCGGUGAAAUGCGUAGAUAUCUGGAGGAACACCGGUGGCGAAGGCGGCAUCCUGGACCGGCAUUGACGCUGAGGAGCGAAAGCCAGGGGAGCAAACGGG